UGCCGAUGAUGCAUUCUAUUUGCACGUAUUAUCAGAUAUAAAGAGCAUGAUGAUAUCUGGAUUGUCACUACCUCUGAGGCA